GAACUUGUGGCCCAUUGGCAAGAUGCCUGACAAUGAAUCAGAACAUUGUAGGUUUGAUUCCUGCCAAGUUCA